rnacentral:pre_miRNA from 1 species
AGUGGGAUAACUGGAUCAAAUGGUAGGUCCAUUCCAAAUUUUCUACGGAAUUUCCAUACUACUUUUCAGAGUGGUUGCACCAAUUUGCAAUGCCACUAGCGAU